rnacentral:rRNA from 1 species
UACGUAGGGGGCGAGCGUUGUCCGGAUUCAUUGGGCGUAAAGAGCUCGUAGGCGGCUUGGCAAGUCGGGUGUGAAAACUUCAGGCUCAACCUGGAGCGGCCACUCGAUACUGCCAUGGCUUGAGUCCGGUAGGGGACCACGGAAUUCCUGGUGUAGCGGUGAAAUGCGCAGAUAUCAGGAGGAACACCGGUGGCGAAGGCGGAUCUCUGGGCCAUUACUGACGCUGAGGAGCGAAAGCGUGGGGAGCGAACAGG